UACGUAGGGGGCGAGCGUUGUCCGGAUUCAUUGGGCGUAAAGAGCUCGUAGGCGGUUCAGUAAGUCGGGUGUGAAAGCUCCGAGCUCAACUCGGAGAGGCCACCCGAUACUGCUGUGACUUGAGUCCAGUAGAGGAGCGUGGAACUCCUGGUGUAGCGGUGAAAUGCGCAGAUAUCAGGAAGAACACCGGUAGCGAAGGCGGCGCUCUGGGCUGGAACUGACGCUGAGGAGAGAAAGCGUGGGUAGCAAACAGG
rnacentral:rRNA from 1 species